UGACCCUACGGGGGGCAGCAGUGAGGAAUAUUGGUCAAUGGGCUUACGCCUGAACCAGCCAAGUCGCGUGAAGGAAGACUGCCCUAUGGGUUGUAAACCUCUUUUGUCAGGGAGCAAUUGGCGCUACGUGUAGCGUCAUCGAGAGUACCUGAAGAAAAAGCAUCGGCUAACUCCGUGCCAGCAGCCGCGGUAAUACGGAGGAUGCGAGCGUUAUCCGGAUUUAUUGGGUUUAAAGGGUGCGUAGGCGGAGUGUCAAGUCAGCGGUAAAAUUUCGGGGCUCAACCCCGUCGUGCCGUUGAAACUGG
rnacentral:rRNA from 1 species